UGCAAGUGUUUCUGUGCAGGUGGAUGAGAUGAGACAUUGAACCUAUUUAAUGAACUACAACUGCAACACCAAGCUGUAGAAACAAAAACUAAAACUCUUCAUGAUGCAUGUGAUCGAUUGGUAAUGGAGAAGCAAAGUUUGAUUGAGUUUGCUGAAGCACUUCGCAGUAAGCUCAAGUAUUUUGAUGAGUUGGAGAAUAUUACUUCAAACUUUUACUCUCCAAACAUGAAUGUUGGAAACACAAACUUUCUCUCACUUCUUAAACAGCU